rnacentral:rRNA from 1 species
CCUACGGGAGGCAGCAGUGAGGAAUAUUGGUCAAUGGACGAGAGUCUGAACCAGCCAAGUAGCGUGAAGGAUGACUGCCCUAUGGGUUGUAAACUUCUUUUAUAUGGGAAUAAAAUGUUCCACGUGUGGGUUUUUGUAUGUACCAUAUGAAUAAGGAUCGGCUAACUCCGUGCCAGCAGCCGCGGUAAUACGGAGGAUCCGAGCGUUAUCCGGAUUUAUUGGGUUUAAAGGGAGCGUAGGUGGAUUGUUAAGUCAGGUGUGAAAGUUUGCGGCUCAACCGUAAAAUUGCAGUUGAAACUGGCAGUCUUGAGUACAGUAGAGGUGUGCGGAAUUCGUGGUGUAGCGGUGAAAUGCUUAGAUAUCACGAAGAACUCCGAUUGCGAAGGCAGCUCACUGGACUGCAACUGACACUGAGGCUCGAAAGUAUGGGUAUCAAACAGGAUUAGAUACCCCAGUAGUC